CUCAUACAUCGAUCUUAAAGAGCAAGUAACGUCUAAAUUAACUUUUUUUUGCUGAUGAACUGUAUAAAUGAGUGUCUAAUAGUGUUUUAAAUGUGUGCAUUCUUUAUUUUAGCAUUUUGGUGCAUUUUCUUUAAAAAUUAAAAAUUCUGUCUAAAAACCACAGUAAUGCGCCACCUUCAGCUGAAAACAUAGAAUUUGAGUCAUUUUGAAUAAAUUUUAGCCAAUGGCUAAAGAGUAAAGUACUACGUAAACCAGUAGAGUACUACGUAGCAGCUCCGUGCCAAAGUUAUAAAAGCAACGAGCGUCUCGGCCACGCCCUGUGGCGAGUGGGAGUUGGAUUUGCAAGCGAGUGUAGGAGGUCAGCGGUAGUUCAGCAUUAGCAUAUAGCAUUAGCAUAUCCUAGUCUUUAGCAUAUCUUUUAGUGUUAUAAAUACUUAUUUAGUGUUAGCUUGGCUGUUGUAUAUUGUAGUUUAGUUAGUGUUUGGCUGUUAGUGUAAUUGGGAAAGUAUUUCGGGUUUAGUGUUCCAUAUCGUCUUAGUAUUGGUGAGUAGGUGUAGUGUAGUAUGGUUGCGGUGACUCUGUGGGCAUUUUACCCGCGAUUCUGCACGCCUCCGUUUGAAGAGGGAGGCUGCCCACCGUGGCUCUUCCGCGAUUUAGAUGCAGCCCACCGACUCUGCUCCCCCACCACGGCGGGCUCCAGUCUGAGGUGAGUCAGCUAAAUAAACGUUUUAACAUCUUCUAAAGACAAUUCCCUACCUAAAUGCAAAGUCUGAGAGACGUGGUUCACUUCCUUUAGCUAGUCAGUCGGCAAUUCUGCAACAGUGUCUCUAACUAACGCUGCACUAGUUGACAGCAUUACAGCGUGAAAUCCAGCUUGUGACCCGGUUCUGUGAGGAAUUCUGUUCAGGAGGUCGCAUUUCAGGCUCUCCACAUCAUAUGUGACUGACUUUUACGUUAUAACAACGAUCACACACUAGGAAUGUUAUAAAGCGCCUAUAUAGGAGAUUCUUUUGUAUAUUAUCUGACUUUAUAAACUCCCAACAACAAUGUGCUUCUAUUUUUUUUUUCAGGCUAAAUCUACCCAAGACACUGGCUGUCAGACUGAUUUAGCUGCAAGAAUGCACUUGUCCAGGCUGACGUGAAACCUUCCCUGUAGCAAAGCCAGCCAGAAUGGAGUUCACAGCCGCAGUGUGUCUGGUGACCCACGGGGACCAUGAUGAAAAUUCAUCUUCCAGAAGGUCCCAGAGCGUCCAGACCCCCUGAAAAGACCAAGAUGUAAGGUGUCUGCUGUUGAUUCCAGCUUCCACCUCAGUGACAGUGCAAGCUCAGUGAACUGUUCAAGGACAUUCAGCAAAAUAUGGACUCUACACCAUGAGGCAUGCACACAUUAAUAUUCUAUAAGAGCACAUAAGGUGAGCAACACCACAUAUUGUACACUGUCCUGAAUUUGUUUUCUUUCUGCAUCUCAUUAGCCUGGCUGAUCACCUGAUAACUCCUGUCAUCUGGUUAUGACAGCAUGAGGAUGUCCUCACACACCUGUAACCUAUCAGAUCAUCUGGCAGAAUAGAGAGAGAAGAGACAACACCACAUCUCCUGUUCCUGGAAAGCCUUCAGCCAUCCUUCGAUGACUGAGAACCUCCAUCAGCUCUGUCUCCUGUCUGCCUACAAUUAUUAUAAUAAAUAUUGUGUUUGACAAGUUUUUUGUGCUGCCAAAUAUCUCAUUUAGAUUCCAGUUUUGAUAUUUUAAUGGAUAUUUAUAAAUUACAUUGAAUAUCACAUUUUUGUUGCAUGUUUAACUAGCUCUAUUGUGAUUAAUUAAACUAGCACCUCACUGUUAAAAGCUCGUUCUAAUUUCAAGCAUGUUUAAGUAUUUAUGGACAUGAACAAAAACAGGAAAUAUAUAUAUUGAGAUUUAUUUAAUUAAUAUAACAAAUAAGGGGGAAAGAGUCAUCGAAAGGCACAUUCUUC